GGUAACACCGGCAGCCCGAGUGGUGAUCACUAUUAUUGGGUCUAAAGGGUCCGUAGCCGGUUUAAUCAGUCUUCUGGGAAAUCUAAUCGCUUAACUAUUAGGCUUCCAGGGGAUACUGUUAGACUUGGGACCGGGAGAGGUAAGAGGUACUGCAGGGGUAGGAGUGAAAUCUUGUAAUCCCUGUGAGACCACCAGUGGCGAAGGCGUCUUACCAGAACGGGUCCGACGGUGAGGGACGAAAGCUGGGGGCACGAACCGGAUUAGAUACCCGGGUAGUCCCAGCUGUAAACGAUGCUCGUUAGGUGUCAGGAACGGUGCGACUGUUUCUGGUGCCGAAGGGAAGCCGUGAAACGAGCCACCUGGGAAGUACGGCCGCAAGGCUGAAACUUAAAGGAAUUGGCGGGGGAGCACUACAACGGGUGGAGCCUGCGGUUUAAUUGGACUCAACGCCGGAAAACUCACCGGGGGCGACAGCAAUAUGUAGGUCAGGUUAAAGGUCUUACCUGAAUCGCUGAGAGGAGGUGCAUGGCCGUCGUCAGUUCGUACUGUGAAGCAUCCUGUUAAGUCAGGCAACGAGCAAGACCCGUGCCCACUGUUACCAGCAUAUCCUUUAUGGAUGAUGGGGACUCUGUGGGGACCGCUGCUGCUAAAGCAGAGGAAGGUGCGGGCUACGGUAGGUCAGUAUGCCCCGAAUCUCCCGGGCUACACGCGGGCUACAAUGGUUGGGACAAUGGGUAUCUACUCCGAAAGGAGUUGGCAAUCUCUUAAACCCAAUCGUAGUUCGAAUUGAGGGCUGUAACUCGCCCUCAUGAAGCUGGAAUCCGUAGUAAUCGCGUUUCAACAUAGCGCGGUG
rnacentral:rRNA from 1 species